rnacentral:rRNA from 1 species
UACAGAGGGUGCGAGCGUUGAUCGGAAUUACUGGGCGUAAAGCGCGCGUAGGCGGCUUUGCAAGCCGGAUGUGAAAUCCCCGGGCUUAACCUGGGAACUGCAUUCGGGACUGCAUUGCUCGAGUAUGGGAGAGGGAAGUGGAAUUUCAGGUGUAGCGGUGAAAUGCGUAGAUAUCUGAAGGAACAUCAGUGGCGAAAGCGACUUCCUGGACCAAUACUGACGCUCAUGUGCGAAAGCGUGGGGAGCAAACAGG